rnacentral:misc_RNA from 1 species
UUUCCGUAGGUGAACCUGCGGAAGGAUCAUUAAAGAACGCCCCGUUUUUUGAAAUGGGUAAUUCUAAACCGUGUAUACAUACCUUUGUUGCUUUGGCAGGCCGCCCCUCAGGGCGUCGGCUCCGGCUGACUGCGCCUGCCAGAGGACCCCAACUCUUUUGUUUAGUGAUGUCUGAGUACUAUAUAAUAGUUAAAACUUUCAACAACGGAUCUCUUGGUUCUG